rnacentral:rRNA from 1 species
CGGUCGGGUGGUGCCGCCUCACGGUGGUCACUGCCUCGAUCGGACAAUUCAUUGGAUCGUUCGGGGUGCUCUUAACCGAGUGUCCUGGGUGGCCGAUACGUUUACUUUGAACAAAUUAGAGUGCUUAAAGCAGGUGCAUCGCGCCUGAAUAUCACAGCAUGGAAUGAUGGAAUAGGACCUCGGUCUUAUUAUGUUGGUUUUCUGGACUUGAGGUAAUGGUUAACAGAGACAGACGGGGGCAUUCGUACUGCGACGCUAGAGGUGAAAUUCUUGGACCGUCGCAAGACGAACAACUGCGAAAGCAUUUGCCAAGAAUGUUUUCAUUAAUCAAGAACGAAAGUUAGAGGUUCGAAGGCGAUCAGAUACCGCCCUAGUUCUAACCAUAAACGAUGCCAACCA